UACAACAUAACGUUAAUGCAUUGGAUUUUAUUAGAACUAUGCAGUUAAGCGUGCUCAGGAUAAAGUAGUACUAGGAUGGGUGAUCGCCCAGGAAAUCCUAGUGUUUUAC
rnacentral:rRNA from 1 species